rnacentral:rRNA from 1 species
ACGGGAGGCAGCAGUGGGGGAUAUUGCACAAUGGGCGAAAGCCUGAUGCAGCAACGCCGCGUGAGGGAAGACGGUUUUCGGAUUGUAAACCUCUGUCUUUGGUGAAGAAAAAAAUGACGGUAGCCAAGGAGGAAGCCACGGCUAACUACGUGCCAGCAGCCGCGGUAAUACGUAGGUGGCAAGCGUUGUCCGGAAUUACUGGGUGUAAAGGGAGCGCAGGCGGUAACGCAAGCCAGAGGUGAAAACCCGGGGCUCAACCCCGAGGAUUGCCUUUGGAACUGUGGAACUGGAGUGCUGGAGGGGCAGGCGGAAUUCCUGGUGUAGCGGUGAAAUGCGUAGAUAUCAGGAGGAACACCGGUGGCGAAGGCGGCCUGCUGGACAGUAACUGACGCUGAGGCUCGAAAGCGUGGGGAGCAAACAGGAUUAGAUACCCUGGUA